rnacentral:rRNA from 1 species
CCUACGGGAGGCAGCAGUGGGGAAUAUUGCACAAUGGGGGAAACCCUGAUGCAGCGACGCCGCGUGAGUGAAGAAGUAAUUCGGUAUGUAAAGCUCUAUCAGCAGGGAAGAAAAUGACGGUACCUGAGUAAGAAGCCCCGGCUAACUACGUGCCAGCAGCCGCGGUAAUACGUAGGGGGCAAGCGUUAUCCGGAUUUACUGGGUGUAAAGGGAGCGUAGACGGCAGUGCAAGUCUGGAGUGAAAGGCGGGGGCUGAACCACCGGACUGCUCUGGAAACUGUACGGCUGGAGUGCAGGAGAGGUAAGCGGAAUUCCUAGUGUAGCGGUGAAAUGCGUAGAUAUUAGGAGGAACACCAGUGGCGAAGGCGGCUUACUGGACUGUAACUGACGUUGAGGCUCGAAAGCGUGGGGAGCAAACAGGAUUAGAUACCCUGGUAGUC